AAGACCUUACUUCAUAGGAUCAUUUCUAUAGUAAGCUCUUCACGAGAACCUUCACACUAUGUGAGGAGUAGACGGUCACGAUGAAGAAGCGUGGCGCGGCACCCUGAGCGUGAGACAGGCGAGGACCCUCGGUCCUCAGCCCUCGAUGAUCGUUCAGUCUUCUGCUUGCAGGAGAGCGUAGGGUGCUGUCGCUGUCUGAGUGGC